UUCAAGCAACCACUGAUUUCUCGUCGGAAUUGGUAUUUUGAAUUGAGGUUGGAAGUUUUAAGCUACUGUCCAGCUAAUUUAACAGGAAAAGGUAAAGGCACACUGGUGAAUGACAGAUAGAAUUCAUGAUCGAGCCAUUAGGACAAUUCAUAUGCUUCCGCUCAAGUUUCUAGGAUUUUAUGUUUUAAAAUUUCUAGUCUUAAGAUUUGAAUUCGAAGUUUUGGUAUUUGUGCUUUAGACUUUUAAAAAUAUUUUCUAGUUUUGUUUUAUUGUUUUAAGGGUACCCUGCCAAAUGAAUUUCGAUUAUUUAGUUUUAAUAAAGUUUAUUAUUUUAUGCAAUAUUUUUUUGUUUUACUAAGCCAUAAAAAAAAGAUGUCAAUUUGAAUUGCAUGCAUGUAUGUCUAUAGUAACAACCUAGUUUAAGUUCUAGGGAGUCGGGUCGUUACAUAUUAUCAUGUAAACUUGUGGCCAAGUUUGUGUUAUUUCAUUUUGUUUCAAUGAUAGAGUUGGAAAUGUGUAUCUUCACUUGUAAUUUUAGU